UACGGAGGGUGCAAGCGUUAUCCGGAUUCACUGGGUUUAAAGGGUGCGUAGGUGGGCAGGUAAGUCAGUGGUGAAAUCUCCGAGCUUAACUCGGAAACUGCCAUUGAUACUAUCUGUCUUGAAUUAUCUGGAGGUGAGCGGAAUAUGUCAUGUAGCGGUGAAAUGCUUAGAUAUGACAUAGAACACCAAAUUGCGAAGGCAGCUCACUACGGAUAUAUUGACACUGAGGCACGGAAAAGCGUGGGGAUCAAAACAGGA
rnacentral:rRNA from 1 species